rnacentral:rRNA from 1 species
CCUACGGGGGGCAGCAGUGAGGAAUAUUGGUCAAUGGGCGCUAGCCUGAACCAGCCAAGUAGCGUGAAGGAUGACUGCCCUAUGGGUUGUAAACUUCUUUUAUAUGGGAAUAAAGUGCAGUAUGUAUACUGCUUUGCAUGUACCUUAUGAAUAAGGAUCGGCUAACUCCGUGCCAGCAGCCGCGGUAAUUCGGAGGAUCCGAGCGUUAUCCGGAUUUAUUGGGUUUAAAGGGAGCGUAGGCGGGUUGUUAAGUCAGUUGUGAAAGUUUGCGGCUCAACCGUAAAAUUGCAGUUGAUACUGGCAUCCUUGAGUACAGUAGAGGUAGGCGGAAUUCGAGGUGUAGCGGUGAAAUGCUUAGAUAUCACGCAGAACCCCGAGUGCGAAGGCAGCCUGCCAAGCCAUGACUGACGCUGAGGCACGAAAGCGUGGGGGUCAAACAGGAUUAGAUACCCCUGUAGUC